rnacentral:rRNA from 1 species
GACGAACGCUGGCGGCGUGCUCAACACAUGCAAGUCGAGCGGAAAGGCCACUUCGGUGGUACUCGAGCGGCGAACGGGUGAGUAACACGUGAGUAAUCUGCCCCUGGCUUCGGGAUAGCCACCGGAAACGGUGAUUAAUACCGAAUAUGACAUGGACUCGCAUGGGUUUGUGUGGAAAGUUUUUUCGGCCAGGGAUGUGCUCGCGGCCUAUCAGCUUGAUGGUGAGGUAAUGGCUCACCAUGGCUUCGACGGGUAGCCGGCCUGAGAGGGUGACCGGCCACACUGGGACUGAGACACGGCCCAGACUCCUACGGGAGGCAGCAGUGGGGAAUAUUGGACAAUGGGCGGAAGCCUGAUCCAGCAACGCCGCGUGAGGGAUGACGGCCUUCGGGUUGUAAGCCUCUUUCAGUACCGACGAAGCGCAAGUGACGGUAGGUACAGAAGAAGCACCGGCCAACUACGUGCCAGCCGCCGCCGUAACAC